rnacentral:snRNA from 1 species
GUGUUCCAUUUGGCAGUACAUACACUAAAAUUGGAAUGAUACAGAGAAGGUUAGCAUGGCCCCCGAGCAAAGACGACAUGCAAAUUCUAGGGUAAUCACUAAAGAAA